rnacentral:pre_miRNA from 1 species
CUACUACUCCCUCCGUCCGAAAAUACUUGUCAUUGAAAUGGAUGUAUCUAGAUGUAUUUUAGUUCUAGACACAUCCAUUUUGAUGACAAGUAAUUCCGGGCGGAGGGAGUAUUAU